CCAGCAGCCGCGGUAAUUCCAGCUCCAAUAGCGUAUAUUAAAGUUGUUGCAGUUAAAAAGCUCGUAGUUGGAUGUCGGAGCCAGUGCACGGUCGCGCCUGCGGGUGACAGACUGUGGACGGGCUCUUCCCGCCCAGUGGACGGCGCGUGCUUGACUGCGCGUGGCUGGCCCGGGCCUUUUACUUUGAACAAAUUAGAGUGUUCCAAGCAGGCGGUCGCCUGAAUAACCCAGCAUGGGAUAAUGGAAUAGGACUUUGGUUCUAUUAGUUGGUUGUGGGACCAAGGUAAUGAUUAAUAGGGAUAGUUGGGGGCAUUAGUAUUCCGUUGUCAGAGGUGAAAUUCUUGGAUUUACGGAAGACUGACA
rnacentral:rRNA from 1 species